GACACUUCAAAAUACUAAAUAAUGACUAAGAUCAAAGUUUAGGAUCUGUUCUACUCAGCUGAAUACCUGAUAUGUCCUGCAUUGCAGGACCAGAAUAUUAAACUCAUUCUUGGCUCAUGAUGGAGUGCUAAGGGCUUGCUCCAGCUCUAUUGCAGAUUGCCUCAGCUUUGCAGUACUGCUGGGAUUGGCCCACCUAAA